CCGGCGACCGGCGCACGGGUGAGUAACACGUAUGGAACCUGCCCGCAGCAGGGGGAUAAGCGGAAGAAAUUCCGUCUAAUACCGCGUAACAACGUUGGGAGGCAUCUCCCGAUGUUUAAAGAUUUAUCGGCUGCGGAUGGCCAUGCGGCGCAUUAGCUAGUCGGCGGGGUAACGGCCCACCGAGGCGACGAUGCGUAGGGGUUCUGAGAGGAAGGUCCCCCACACUGGUACUGAGACACGGACCAAACUCCUACGGAAGGCAGCAG
rnacentral:rRNA from 1 species